rnacentral:rRNA from 1 species
CCUACGGGUGGCAGCAGUGGGGAAUAUUGCGCAAUGGGCGAAAGCCUGACGCAGCGACGCCGCGUGAGGGAUGAAGGUUCUCGGAUCGUAAACCUCUGUCAGAAGGGAAGAAAUUAUAUCCUGCUAAUCAGUGGUGUAUUUACGGUACCUUCAAAGGAAGAACCGGCUAACUCCGUGCCAGCAGCCGCGGUAAUACGGAGGGUGCGAGUGUUGAUCGGAAUUACUGGGCGUAAAGCGUACGUAGGCUGGAUUACAAGUCAAGAGUGAAAUGCCACGGCUGAACCGAGGAACUGCAUUUGAAACUGUCAAACUGGAGUAUGUGAGAGGGCGGCGGAAUUCCUGGUGUAGGAGUGAAAUGCGUAGAUAUCAGGAGGAACAUCAGUGGCGAAGGCGGCCGCCUGGAAUAAAACUGACGCUGAGGUGCGAAAGCGUGGGUAGCAAACAGGAUUAGAUACCCUAGUAGUC